rnacentral:lncRNA from 1 species
UAAUCAAGUCGAAGCGAGAAAAUAUGUGCAUUUCAAAGAGGAAAACAACAUCCAUGAUCUGCUCGGGUAGGAAAGACCCACAAAUAUUUUUAUCCGGCCAGCUACAUCCUCAAAUACUAUUUUUGGCAAAGCAAAAAACACUUGAGCAAAGGACAAACAACAACAUAUAUUAGCCAGUAGGAAACAAACAGUAGCAGCAGCCAGCAGGCAGUAGCGAACAAACAACAACAGGGGGACGUGGAACAGCUGCUCGCACUGGAGGGGAAGUCACGAACUGGAGAAGGAGAAGCCCAGGAGGAAGGCACGGCUAGCCGCGACCUCGGCCUGCACCUGCGCUAGGUUGCCUUUUGAUUCCAGACCUGGAGGGGAAGACAAAGCGGAGACAGAGGGGAGAGCGCUCCAGUGGAGGGAAGAGAGCACCGGCCUAGGGCGGAGGGGAGAGGGCCCGAGCCGCUGCCGUUGGGGAUGGCAGUCCACCGGCGGGUGGAUGCGCUCCGGCCACACGAUCCUGGACCCUCCGAAUUCCGAGGCUGACUUUCUGAGUGGAGGAAGGAGGGAAGGGCGGCUGAGGGGAGAGGCCUGAGGGCGCCGGUGGGUGGCAGCUUGGCUGGCGCUGGCAGAUACGCCCUGGACACACUCACGAAGAAGCCGCCAGUGAGCUAGGCCGAGAGGAAUUUGGCCAGCGGGCAGCGGCUGGCAGCGAGAACGGCGGUGCUAGAGAGAAGACGUCGAGGAAGAGAAAAGAGGAGAUUCUUGUGAUCCGCAUAAAAAGGGAUCGGGUAGCCAGGCAAAAGAAGGUCGGGUGAUUUCCCAAUCUCAAAGCGCUGCACGGAACAGCAACCCUGGGC